UGGGAUUGUGACUCAGUGGUAGAGUGCUUGCCUAGCAUGCAUGAGGCUCUGGGUUCGAUCCCCAGCACCUCAU